UACAGAGGCCUCGAGCGUUAGGCGGAAUCACUGGGCUUAAAGCGUGUGUAGGCGGACUUCUAAGUACCUUGUGAAAUCCCACAGCUUAACUGUGGAACUGCUUGGUAUACUGGUUGUCUUGAGGUACCUAGGGGCGAGCGGAACAAGUGGUGGAGCGGUGAAAUGCGUAGAUAUCAGGAGGAACACCGGUGGCGAAGGCGGAUCUCUGGGCCUUACCUGACGCUCAGGUGCGAAAGCUAGGGGAGCGAACAGG
rnacentral:rRNA from 1 species